CUUUUUAAUUUGAAAACAACUGCUACUUUGAGUAAACUUGACAUGACUAAUGUGUUUGUGCUAUUUGCUAGAGUCAGCAGAGAAAUCAAGGGCGUUCUAUGCAUUAUUCUCAUAAAAUUAAACCAUUGAAGAGAAAUUAGUAUAUGAA